GUUGACGCCGCACAGGCUCCUCCCCGAUCUCUUGACCUAGGAUGAAACCUAUGCGCCGCCACUAUUGCCGUCGCCGCUGCCGAGAGAGAGAGAGAGAGAGAGAGAGAGAGAGAGACGAGGGUGACUGAUGGCAACGGCGGCGAUGGGCAAACGAGGUCGCGCCAGGCCGGCGAUUUCAUCCGUAAGUGCACCUGCGCUGCCGACGAUGACGGCUCAACCAAGGUCCUCUUGAUGGAUCCCCGCGCCAGGGUCUUCGUCGCGCUGAUGGCGGUAGGGCAGCCGUCAGCCGCCAUGGUUGCCAAAUCCGUAGCACUCACCACAUCACGGCGGCGGCUACCUGCAUCACCUCGCCGUUCAUUGUUAUGGAAGCGUGAUGCGAUGAGCUUUUCCUAGCGGCUUACAGGUGAAGCCAGGGGAGGAAGGGAGGAAUGCAUUGUCAUAUGCUCGAUCUUGACAUCUUGUAUUGACAGUUUGACACAGUGCUGGGCGACAGUCGGAAGCCUACUUGAAUCCAAAACUUUUGAGGUUCGAUCCCAUCUACUUCUUUAACAUUGUUCAAAUGAUACACACUAUGCUUAGUAUUUCGUUUCCUAGGAAUAAGAUCUGGAAUAUUUUCCUGCAAAAAAUGUCCGCAAUAUAAAUAUAUGGAUGGUGACUCUUUGAUUA